rnacentral:rRNA from 1 species
UACGGGGGGGGCAAGCGUUGUUCGGAAUUACUGGGCGUAAAGGGCUCGUAGGUGGCCAACUAAGUCAGACGUGAAAUCCCCUCGGCUUAACCGGGGAACUGCAUCUGAUACUGGAUGGCUUGAGUUUGGGAGAGGGAUGCGGAAUUCCAGGUGUAGCGGUGAAAUGCGUAGAUAUCUGGAGGAACACCGGUGGCGAAGGCGGCAUCCUGGACCAACACUGACGCUGAGGAGCGAAAGCCAGGGGAGCAAACGGG